UACAGAGGUCCCGAGCGUUGUUCGGAUUCACUGGGCGUAAAGGGCGCGUAGGCGGCCCGGUAAGUCAAAGGUGAAAUCCCUCGGCUCAACUGAGGAACUGCCUUUGAAACUGUCGGGCUUGAGGCCGGGAGGGGGUAGCGGAAUUCCCAGUGUAGCGGUGAAAUGCGUAGAUAUUGGGAGGAACACCAGUGGCGAAGGCGGCUACCUGGACCGGUUCUGACGCUGAGGCGCGAAAGCGUGGGUAGCAAACAGG
rnacentral:rRNA from 1 species